CCUACGGGCGGCUGCAGUGGGGAAUAUUGCGCAAUGGGCGAAAGCCUGACGCAGCGACGCCGCGUGAGGGAUGAAGGUCCUCGGAUCGUAAACCUCCGUUAGCAGGGAAGAACGGUCACUGUGCUAAUCAGCAGUGAAUUGACGGUACCUGCAAAGGAAGCACCGGCUGACUCCGUGCCAGCAGCCGCGGUAAUACGGAGGGUGCGAGCGCUAAUCGGAAUUACUGGGCGUAAAGCGCUCGUAGGCGGUAUGUCAAGUCAAGGGUGAAAUCCCCGCGCUCAACGUGGGAACUGCCUUUGAAACUGGCAGGCUGGAGGGUGGGAGAGGAUAGUGGAAGUCCAGGUGUAGGGGUGAAAUGCGUAGAUAUCUGGAGGAACAUCAGUGGCGAAGGCGGCUAGCUGGCACAUAACUGACGCUGAGGAGCGAAAGCGUGGGUAGCAAACAGGAUUAGAUACCCGAGUAGUC
rnacentral:rRNA from 1 species